rnacentral:rRNA from 1 species
GGUUCGGUGUGGAAGCGCGGUAACGCGUGGAGCUGACGAAUACUAAUCGGUCGAGGACUUAUCCAC